rnacentral:rRNA from 1 species
CDSUUUUUCUUGAGUGCAGAAGAGGAGAGUGGAACUCCAUGUGUAGCGGUGGAAUGCGUAGAUAUAUGGAAGAACACCAGUGGCGAAGGCGGCUCUCUGGUCUGCAACUGACGCUGAGGCUCGAAAGCAUGGGUAGCGAACAGGAUUAGAUACCCUGGUAGUCCAUGCCGUAAACGAUGAGUGCUAAGUGUUGGGAGGUUUCCGCCUCUCAGUGCUGCAGCUAACGCAUUAAAAGCACUCCGCCUGGGGAGUACGACCGCAAGGUUGAAACUCAAAGGAAUUGACGGGGGCCCGCACAAGCGGUGGAGCAUGUGGUUUAAUUCGAAGCAACGCGAAGAACCUUACCAGGUCUUGACAUCUAGUGCAAUCCGUAGAGAUACGGAGUUCCCUUCGGGGACACUAAG